ensembl:lncRNA
CACACGCUCAGCUCCAGAGACUACACAACCUCUCUGUGGGGAGAGAGAGACGAGCUUCCCCGCCUGCGCUGCACACCGUCUGCCGCUCUGAAUUGAAACAGGAGACAGAGGGAGGGAGCGAUAGAUUGAGGGAGAGGGAGAGCGAUGGAGUGAGAGACGGAGAGGUAGGGACAGUGUAACGAGGUGAACGUGAUUCCAGCAAAGCGUGCUUUUGGCUAGAUAGGAGAGGCAGAGGAUCUGGGCUUGACAGUGGGCUUGGCGUGGUUCGUCUGUAUUUCGUCCCCCCCUUCGCUCUGUGUGAGCAGCCUUCAUCGUCAUUGGUUCCUCUUCGGCUCGCUGUGGUCGUGCGGAGAGCCUUUCGGUGGUUCGGGAGCGGCAAGAGGAUCAUGACUUUGGAGUGGGAGUUUUGAAGUGUUGCUGUUGAGAAAGCCCAACCUUUGUAUUCAGAGGAGGAAGAGGUGUUGCCACACCCUACCCAGCUGAUACUAGGUACUGUAGUGAAUGUAGCCUACUGUGGGAAGCCAGAUAGCCUAGUGGUUAGAGCAUUUGGCCACAUGCAGAAAAGUUGCUGGUUUAAAUUUCCAGGGUAAACAAAAAUCUGUCAGAGUGCCCCGGAGCAAGGCACUUCACGCUAAUUGCUACCGUAAGUUGCGGUGGGUAAUUGUAUAACAAUGAAUAGAUGUGGAUGUACAACCCUGCUUCUGGAAAAGUUGUGACCCUGAGUAAAAUGCUAAUAAAAACAGAAUGCAAUGAUGUGCAAAUAAUGUAUCCCUGUAUUUCAUUUGAAAUAGUACAAAGGCAACAAAUGUUAAAACCAAGAAAUGUUAUUGUUUUUGGAAAAAUAAAAUUUUGAAUUUGAUGCCAGCAACACAUUUCAAAAAGGUCAAGACAGGCACAUGUUUACCACUGUGUUGCAUCACCUCUUCUUUUAACAAUACUCUAUAAGCGUUUGGGAACUGAAGAGACCAAUUGCUGUAGUUUUGAAAGUGAAAUGUAUUCCCAUUUUUGCUUGAUACAGGAUUUCAUCUACUCAACAGUUUGGGG